rnacentral:rRNA from 1 species
UACGGGGGGGGCAAGCGUUGUUCGGAAUUACUGGGCGUAAAGGGUUCGUAGGUGGCCAACUAAGUCAGACGUGAAAUCCCUCAGCUUAACUGGGGAACUGCGUCUGAGACUGGAUGGCUUGAGUGCAGGAGAGGAACGCGGAAUUCCAGGUGUAGCGGUGAAAUGCGUAGAUAUUCGCAAGAACACCAGUGGCGAAGGCGGCUCACUGGCCCGGUACUGACGCUGAGGUGCGAAAGCGUGGGGAGCAAACAGG